rnacentral:rRNA from 1 species
UACGUAGGGUGCGAGCGUUAAUCGGAAUUACUGGGCGUAAAGCGUGCGCAGGCGGCUUCGCAAGUCAGGCGUGAAAUCCCCGGGCUUAACCUGGGAAUGGCGUCUGAAACUACGGAGCUGGAGUGUGGCAGAGGGAGGUAGAAUUCCACGUGUAGCGGUGAAAUGCGUAGAUAUGGGGAGGAACACCGGUGGCGAAGGCGGCCACCUGGACGGAUACUGACGCUGAGACGCGAAAGCGUGGGGAGCAAACAGG